rnacentral:rRNA from 1 species
UUAAGCGACUAAGCGUACACGGUGGAUGCCCUGGCAGUCAGAGGCGAUGAAGGACGUGCUAAUCUGCGAAAAGCGUCGGUAAGGUGAUAUGAACCGUUAUAACCGGCGAUGUCCGAAUGGGGAAACCCAGUGCAAUUCGUUGCACUAUCGUUAACUGAAUACAUAGGUUAACGAGGCGAACCGGGGGAACUGAAACAUCUAAGUACCCCGAGGAAAAGAAAUCAACCGAGAUUCCCCCAGUAGCGGCGAGCGAACGGGGAGCAGCCCAGAGUCUGAAUCAGCUUGUGUGUUAGUGGAACGGUCUGGAAAGUCCGACGGUACAGGGUGAUAGUCCCGUACACCAAAAUGCACAGGCUGUGAACUCGAAGAGUAGGGGCGGGACACGUGGUAUCCUGUCUGAAUAUGGGGGGACCAUCCUCCAAGGCUAAAUACUCCUGACUGACCGAUAGUGAACCAGUACCGUGAGGGAAAGGCGAAAAGAACCCCGGCGAGGGGAGUGAAAAAGAACCUGAAACCGUGUACGUACAAGCAGUGGGAGCACCUUCGGGUGUGACUGCGUACCUUUUGUAUAAUGGGUCAGCGACUUAUAUUCUGUAGCAAGGUUAACCGUAUAGGGGAGCCGCAGGGAAACCGAGUCUUAACUGGGCGUUAAGUUGCAGGGUAUAGACCCGAAACCCGGUGAUCUAGCCAUGGGCAGGUUGAAGGUUGGGUAACACUAACUGGAGGACCGAACCGACUAAUGUUGAAAAAUUAGCGGAUGACUUGUGGCUGGGGGUGAAAGGCCAAUCAAACCGGGAGAUAGCUGGUUCUCCCCGAAAGCUAUUUAGGUAGCGCCUCGUGAAUUCAUCUUCGGGGGUAGAGCACUGUUUCGGCUAGGGGGUCAUCCCGACUUACCAACCCGAUGCAAACUACGAAUACCGAAGAAUGUUAUCACGGGAGACACACGGCGGGUGCUAACGUCCGUCGUGAAGAGGGAAACAACCCAGACCGCCAGCUAAGGUCCCAAAGUCAUGGUUAAGUGGGAAACGAUGUGGGAAGGCACAGACAGCCAGGAUGUUGGCUUAGAAGCAGCCAUCAUUUAAAGAAAGCGUAAUAGCUCACUGGUCGAGUCGGCCUGCGCGGAAGAUGUAACGGGGCUAAACCAUGCACCGAAGCUGCGGCAGCGACACUAUGUGUUGUUGGGUAGGGGGAGCGUUCUGUAAGCCUGCGAAGGUGACCUGUGAGGGUUGCUGGAGGUAUCAGAAGUGCGAAUGCUGACAUAAGUAACGAUAAAGCGGGUGAAAAGCCCGCUCGCCGGAAGACCAAGGGUUCCUGUCCAACGUUAAUCGGGGGCAGGGUGAGUCGACCCCUAAGGCGAGGCCGAAAGGCGUAGUCGAUGGGAAACAGGUUAAUAUUCCUGUACUUGGUGUUACUGCGAAGGGGGGACGGAGAAGGCUAUGUUAGCCGGGCGACGGUUGUCCCGGUUUAAGCAUGUAGGCUGGUUAUCCAGGCAAAUCCGGAUAAUCAAGGCUGAGGUGUGAUGACGAGGCACUACGGUGCUGAAGUAACAAAUGCCCUGCUUCCAGGAAAAGCCUCUAAGCAUCAGGUAACAUCAAAUCGUACCCCAAACCGACACAGGUGGUCAGGUAGAGAAUACCAAGGCGCUUGAGAGAACUCGGGUGAAGGAACUAGGCAAAAUGGUGCCGUAACUUCGGGAGAAGGCACGCUGGUGUGUAGGUGAAGCCCCUGCGGGUGGAGCUGAGACCAGUCGAAGAUACCAGCUGGCUGCAACUGUUUAUUAAAAACACAGCACUGUGCAAACACGAAAGUGGACGUAUACGGUGUGACGCCUGCCCGGUGCCGGAAGGUUAAUUGAUGGGGUUAUCCGUAAGGAGAAGCUCUUGAUCGAAGCCCCGGUAAACGGCGGCCGUAACUAUAACGGUCCUAAGGUAGCGAAAUUCCUUGUCGGGUAAGUUCCGACCUGCACGAAUGGCGUAAUGAUGGCCAGGCUGUCUCCACCCGAGACUCAGUGAAAUUGAACUCGCUGUGAAGAUGCAGUGUACCCGCGGCAAGACGGAAAGACCCCGUGAACCUUUACUAUAGCUUGACACUGAACAUUGAGCCUUGAUGUGUAGGAUAGGUGGGAGGCUUUGAAGCGUGGACGCCAGUCUGCGUGGAGCCAACCUUGAAAUACCACCCUUUAAUGUUUGAUGUUCUAACGUUGGCCCCUGACCGGGGUUGCGGACAGUGUCUGGUGGGUAGUUUGACUGGGGCGGUCUCCUCCCAAAGCGUAACGGAGGAGCACGAAGGUUAGCUAAUCCUGGUCGGACAUCAGGAGGUUAGUGCAAUGGCAUAAGCUAGCUUGACUGCGAGCGUGACGGCGCGAGCAGGUGCGAAAGCAGGUCAUAGUGAUCCGGUGGUUCUGAAUGGAAGGGCCAUCGCUCAACGGAUAAAAGGUACUCCGGGGAUAACAGGCUGAUACCGCCCAAGAGUUCAUAUCGACGGCGGUGUUUGGCACCUCGAUGUCGGCUCAUCACAUCCUGGGGCUGAAGUAGGUCCCAAGGGUAUGGCUGUUCGCCAUUUAAAGUGGUACGCGAGCUGGGUUUAGAACGUCGUGAGACAGUUCGGUCCCUAUCUGCCGUGGGCGCUGGAGAAUUGAGGGGGGCUGCUCCUAGUACGAGAGGACCGGAGUGGACGCAUCACUGGUGUUCGGGUUGUCAUGCCAAUGGCACUGCCCGGUAGCUAAAUGCGGAAGAGAUAAGUGCUGAAAGCAUCUAAGCACGAAACUUGCCCCGAGAUGAGUUCUCCCUGAGACUAUAAGUCUCCUGAAGGAACGUUAAAGACGAUGACGUUGAUAGGCCGGGUGUGUAAGCGCAGCGAUGCGUUGAGCUAACCGGUACUAAUGAACCGUGAGGCUUAACCUU